GACGUCUGUCACUCCAUCCCUCUUCACUCUCCAGAUUCCAUGAUGGUGAUCAGCAGACAAUGAAGACAAGAAGUCUGGGGAUUCAGGUGUAUCUGACAAAGUCAGAUGGGUAGUUCCCUGAGGUGAUGGAGAAGGUAUGCUGAAAACCUGGAACUUGAAAAGCUGGAAAGAUAAGGCAGAUGGAGCACUAUUUACAAAAGCCAAGACAUGGAAGCAACCUAGAUGUCCAUUGAUGAAUGGAUAAAGAAGCAGCGGUAAAGCAUGACCUGCUGCUAUCCAUGGGGUCUCAGGGAGUUGGCAUUCUCCUAGCCAGGAUAUUACUGCCAGCCUCGUCCAGGUGACUAACAGGAAACGAGCAGAGGAGAGACAAGUCUGAAAACAGCUGUGGUAUCAUCAUGAACUCAGAAACAGAUCAUCUCCUCUGAAAUUGGCCCACGUAGCUUGCAGAAGUCCACGUGAAUCAAUACUUUGGGAGAAGACCUAUUUCCUGAGAUCUGCAGUUCCAGGAAGUCUCUUAUUAUCUGUACAAUAAGAAGAGCUGCACAGUUCAACCCAUCACUUUGCUAGUAACUGUCAUGUUUAACAUUAUGUUAAGGUGGAGACUGAAAUGCUCUCUUCUUCAGAGACAUGCUUCAAAUUGCUGAGUCUUCACUGAUCUUCCAGGCCAUCCAUUCAGUUGCCAGGAAAGCUUGUACUUGAGUUACUGUUGUCUUUAGAAAGGUCUGUGCUGACCAAACAACACACUCUAUAUCAAUAUUCCUUGUGACCCCUGGAAAUGUUAGUGAGGCUACUACUCUGCGAUCCCAUUCAAACAUGAUUGAAUUCACUUUUGCCUGUUUUCCUUUCUAUGUUCAGCUCUAACUGGGUUUGUUCAGAGCUUCAGGUGUUGAGGGAAUCCUAUGAGCCUUUGUCGUUACAUGAUAAGAAGCUAUAAUUGAGCAUUUACUGUGGACAGGAGGAGUGGUGUGCUAAAAAAACUGCUUCAGUUUGAAACUAAAAACAAAGCCCUGACUUGUGCUGCCAAUUUCCAUGGUGUAUAUACUUCUACCCUGAUCAGUUUGAGAAGUUGAGUUGGAAGGAGCUAUACAGGCUAGGUUCUCACAGGCCAGUUUCUAGCACACUAGGUAUUUUACAAGGGCCAUCUCCUCCUGUUUAUAUUAAAUCCUCAUGAAGUUUUUUGUGUAUUAUUAUCAUUGUGUGUGUAUUUAGUCGCUCAGUCGUGUCCAGCUUUUUUCAAUACUUUGGACUGUAGCCCUCCAUGCUCCUCUGUUGAGGGGAUUUUUUUUCAGGCAAGAAUACUGGAGUGAGUUGCCAUUUCCUCCUCCCUACCCAGGGAUUGAACCCUUGUCUCCUGUGUCUCCUGCAUUGGCAGGAUUCUUUACCCACUGAACCAUCCAAGACAUCCUGAGUACUAUUAUUAUCUCCAUGUUAUUCAUCAGAAAACAGAGGCUUAGAGAGAUUAUGCAACUUUCCUAAAUCCGCACACCUACUAAGGGGAAGAAUCGAGAUUUGGUUCUCAGUCUGUGUGCUCCAAAACCAUGCCCGUUGAUAGAGAUAGCCUAGUGAUGGAGAUAAAGUCUCCCUGUACAUAUUCACUUCAUUCUUUUAUUUGGAUGGAACCAAGAAGGGGCUUGAAUCUUUAACAUCUAAUUUCCUUAACUUCAAAAUGUUCUCUCA